rnacentral:pre_miRNA from 1 species
AGUGGGAUAGCUGGGUCAAAUGAUGGUUCCAUUCCAAGUUUUCCAAGGAAUCUCCAUACUGCUUUCUAUAUUGGCUGCACCAAUUUGCAGUCCCACCAGCAAU